UGAACGCUGGCGGCGUGCCUCAUACAUGCAAGUCGAGCGAACAGACGAGGAGCUUGCUCCUCUGACGUUAGCGGCGGACGGGUGAGUAACACGUGGAUAACCUACCUAUAAGACUGGGAUAACUUCGGGAAACCGGAGCUAAUACCGGAUAAUAUAUUGAACCGCAUGGUUCAAUAGUGAAAGACGGUUUUGCUGUCACUUAUAGACGGAUCCGCGCCGCAUUAGCUAGUUGGUAAGGUAACGGCUUACCAAGGCAACGAUGCGUAGCCGACCUGAGAGGGUGAUCGGCCACACUGGAACUGAGACACGGUCCAGACUCCUACGGGAGGCAGCAGUAGGGAAUCUUCCGCAAUGGGCGAAAGCCUGACGGAGCAACGCCGCGUGAGUGAUGAAGGUCUUCGGAUCGUAAAACUCUGUUAUUAGGGAAGAACAAAUGUGUAAGUAACUAUGCACGUCUUGACGGUACCUAAUCAGAAAGCCACGGCUAACUACGUG
rnacentral:rRNA from 1 species